CGAUGGGGUCGUGCUGGGGCCCGGUGGCCGAGCCUCGUUUCCGAGGAGGCCGCCGAGAUCCGCGGAUAAGCCCCGCUGACGGGCG
rnacentral:sRNA from 13 species